CGCUCCUUCUCCUUCUUCUUCUCCUUCUUCUUCUCCUUCUCCUCUUCCUUCUCCUUCUCCUUCUUCUCCUUCUCCUCUUCCUUCUCCUUCUCCUCCUCCUCCUCCUUUUUCUUCUUCUUCUCCUCUUCCUUCUCCUUCUCCUCUUCCUUCUCCAUCUCCUCCUUCUCCUCCUCCUCCUCAUUCUUUUACUUCUUCUUCUCUUUCUCUUCUCCUAUAGUUUGCUAGGGUUCCACCUAAAUGAC
rnacentral:lncRNA from 1 species